AGAUAGGAUUCUUUUUCAUUAAUUUCACUUCGAGUUUGUUAAAUAGGUAGACAUAAUUACCUUUGGCAUAUUUUAAAAGAAACAAACUUAAAAUUGUUUGUGAUUUCAAAUUAGCUUUCCUUUUCUCUCCAUGUCAGCCUAACCAUUAAUUUCAAUUGGAAGGGCUUGUUUUUAUCUUGGUGUGUGGAUGAAUGAACUUACCAACGGUGACCUCAAUCACCAGCGAGCGAUCACGGAUGCAACCUGUACCUGUUCCAUUUUUAAUUCCAUCACCCUGAUAACCCUCAGGGCAAGAACAAUGAAAGCUUCCUGGGGUGUUGAUGCAUUUUUUGUCGCAGUUGUUGAGCGUUGAAUUUUUACACUCAUCAAUAUCUGCAAAAGAAACAGAAACAGAGCGGAACAAGCUACUAGUAUUGAGUAAUGAGCUCUGUUUUGAGGCGUAUAGGUCAAGCAAUCCAAUUAGGAUCAGGGCAGAAAUAGAAUAACACUACCAAUAAUCUUACUUUUGCAUUAAAUGAAAGAAGGGCGAAGAGAGGUAAACCUUGGCAACCAUUAGGGAGGUAUGGAUUCCCCUGAUAACCAUCUACGCAUUUGCAAAGGUACCCAGACCCAUUUUCAGGAUCCUGACAAGUGCUAUUUCCUUGACAUGCAUUAUACAUCAUAUUGUUCCUAAUUGUUGUGCAGUUGCUGGCCCCAAUAUUCCAAUCCAGCACCA
rnacentral:misc_RNA from 1 species